rnacentral:rRNA from 1 species
AAUAGAUACCCGGGUAGUCCACGCUGUAAACUAUGAGUGCUAGGUGUAGGGGGUAGUCGACACCCUCUGUGCCGCAGCAAACGCAAUAAGCACUCCGCCUGGGGAGUACGGUCGCAAGACUAAAACUCAAAGGAAUUGACGGGGGCCCGGCACAAGCAGCGGAGCAUGUGGUUUAAUUCGAAGCAACGCGAAGAACCUUACCAGGGCUUGACAUCUACCUAACACUUUAGAGAUAGAGUGGUGCCUUUUUAGGAAAGGUAAGACAGGUGGUGCAUGGUUGUCGUCAGCUCGUGUCGUGAGAUGUUGGGUUAAGUCCCGCAACGAGCGCAACCCUUGUCAUUAGUUGCUAACAGUAAGAUGAGCACUCUAAUGAGACUGCCGGGGACAACUCGGAGGAAGGUGGGGAUGACGUCAAAUCAUCAUGCCCCUUAUGUCCUGGGCUACACGCGUGCUACAAUGGCUAGAACAAUGAGAUGCAAUCUGUGAAGUGGAGCAAAUCUAUAAAAACCUGUCCCAGUUCGG